AAGAAUGAAUUUUGCUAAAACUGAGAUCUUCUUUCUCAAGCAUGGCAGCAGGAAUUAAAAGGACUGAAAUAUGUGGUUUUCUUAUUGUCAAAGACGACUCCUUCCUUCUGUUUUGUCUAAGAUUGAGAGGAUUAUCCAAAAAUUCAUUUGUUAAAAGAAGAAACUUGAGAAACUCAGGUAUCCAUCCAUCUCAUUGGCUAGGAUAAGGUAACCUAUCCUAAAUCUAAGGGAUGGUUGUGGUGUAUACAUGACAUUUAUGUAACCAAAAUUG
rnacentral:lncRNA from 1 species